rnacentral:rRNA from 1 species
GUCUUUUUGAUUUUAUAUAAAGUCUAGCCUGCCCACUGAAAAAUUUGAAUGGCCGCAGUAAUUUGACUGUGCAAAGGUAGCAUAAUCAUUAGUUUUUUAAUUAAAAGCUUGUAUGAAAGGUUGGACGAAGUAAAAUCUGUCUCUAUUUAAUUAAAUUUAGAAUUUAAUUUUUAAGUUAAAAAGCUUAAAUAUUUAUAAAAGACGAGAAGACCCUAUAGAGCUUUAUAAUUUAUUUUAAUAUAAUUAAUUAGGAUUAAUUUAAGUUUUAUUAAUAUAAUUAUUUUAUUGGGGUAAUAGAAAGAUUUAAAAAAUUCUUUUUUUUUAUUAACAUUUAUAUAUGAAUAUAAUGAUCCAUUUUUAAUGAUUAAAAGAUUAAGUUACCUUAGGGAUAACAGCGUAAUUUUUUUAAAGAGUUCAUAUCGAUAAAAAAGUUUGCGACCUCGAUGUUGGAUUAAAGAUUAUUUUAGGUGUAGAAGUUUAAAAUUUUGGUCUGUUCGACCAUUAAAUCUUUACAUGAUCUGAGUUCAGACCGGUGUAAGCCAGGUCGGUUUCUAUCUUUAUUAAAAUAAAAUAUUUUAGUACGAAAGGACCAAAUAUUUAAUAUAUUUAUAUUUAUUUUUUGAAUAU